rnacentral:rRNA from 1 species
UACGAAGGGGGCUAGCGUUGCUCGGAAUGACUGGGCGUAAAGGGCGCGUAGGCGGAUGGCUUUGUCGGGCGUGAAAUUCCAGGGCUUAACCUUGGGGCUGCGUUCGAGACGGGUUGUCUUGAGUGGGGAAGAGGGUCGUGGAAUUCCCAGUGUAGAGGUGAAGUUCGUAGAUAUUGGGAAGAACACCGGUGGCGAAGGCGGCGACCUGGUCCUUUACUGACGCUGAGGCGCGAAAGCGUGGGGAGCAAACAGG